UGCCUUAUAGUAUAUAGCUAAUAUUACUGUAAACUGCAACUUUACCAAAGCAACAGCUAAGGCAU
rnacentral:tRNA from 1 species